rnacentral:rRNA from 1 species
AACGAACGCUGGCGGCAGGCUUAACACAUGCAAGUCGAACGCCCCGCAAGGGGAGUGGCAGACGGGUGAGUAACGCGUGGGAAUCUACCUAGUUCUACGGAACAACACAGGGAAACUUGUGCUAAUACCGUAUACGCCCUACGGGGGAAAGAUUUAUCGGAAUUAGAUGAGCCCGCGUUGGAUUAGCUAGUUGGUGGGGUAAUGGCCUACCAAGGCGACGAUCCAUAGCUGGUCUGAGAGGAUGAUCAGCCACACUGGGACUGAGACACGGCCCAGACUCCUACGGGAGGCAGCAGUGGGGAAUAUUGGACAAUGGGCGAAAGCCUGAUCCAGCCAUGCCGCGUGAGUGAUGAAGGUCUUAGGAUUGUAAAGUUCUUUAGCCUGUGACGAUGAUGACGGUAACAGGAGAAUAAGCCCCGGCUAACUUCGUGCCAGCCGCCGCCGUAA